GAUGAACGCUGGCGGCGUGCCUAAUACAUGCAAGUCGAGCGAACGGACGAGAAGCUUGCUUCUCUGAUGUUAGCGGCGGACGGGUGAGUAACACGUGGAUAACCUACCUAUAAGACUGGGAUAACUUCGGGAAACCGGAGCUAAUACCGGAUAAUAUUUUGAACCGCAUGGUUCAAAAGUGAAAGACGGUCUUGCUGUCACUUAUAGAUGGAUCCGCGCUGCAUUAGCUAGUUGGUAAGGUAACGGCUUACCAAGGCAACGAUGCAUAGCCGACCUGAGAGGGUGAUCGGCCACACUGGAACUGAGACACGGUCCAGACUCCUACGGGAGGCAGCAGUAGGGAAUCUUCCGCAAUGGGCGAAAGCCUGACGGAGCAACGCCGCGUGAGUGAUGAAGGUCUUCGGAUCGUAAAACUCUGUUAUUAGGGAAGAACAUAUGUGUAAGUAACUGUGCACAUCUUGACGGUACCUAAUCAGAAAGCCACGGCUAACUACGUGCCAGCAGCCGCGGUAAUACGUAGGUGGCAAGCGUUAUCCGGAAUUAUUGGGCGUAAAGCGCGCGUAGGCGGUUUUUUAAGUCUGAUGUGAAAGCCCACGGCUCAUUCGUGGAGGGUCAUUGGAAACUGGAAAACUUGAGUGCAGAAGAGGAAAGUGGAAUUCCAUGUGUAGCGGUGAAAUGCGCAGAGAUAUGGAGGAACACCAGUGGCGAAGGCGACUUUCUGGUCUGUAACUGACGCUGAUGUGCGAAAGCGUGGGGAUCAAACAGGAUUAGAUACCCUGGUAGUCCACGCCGUAAACGAUGAGUGCUAAGUGUUAGGGGGUUUCCGCCCCUUAGUGCUGCAGCUAACGCAUUAAGCACUCCGCCUGGGGAGUACGACCGCAAGGUUGAAACUCAAAGGAAUUGACGGGGACCCGCACAAGCGGUGGAGCAUGUGGUUUAAUUCGAAGCAACGCGAAGAACCUUACCAAAUCUUGACAUCCUUUGACAACUCUAGAGAUAGAGCCUUCCCCUUCGGGGGACAAAGUGACAGGUGGUGCAUGGUUGUCGUCAGCUCGUGUCGUGAGAUGUUGGGUUAAGUCCCGCAACGAGCGCAACCCUUAAGCUUAGUUGCCAUCACUAAGUUGGGCACUCUAAGUUGACUGCCGGUGACAAACCGGAGGAAGGUGGGGAUGACGUCAAAUCAUCAUGCCCCUUAUGAUUUGGGCUACACACGUGCUACAAUGGACAAUACAAAGGGCAGCGAAACCGCGAGGUCAAGCAAAUCCCAUAAAGUUGUUCUCAGUUCGGAUUGUAGUCUGCAACUCGACUACAUGAAGCUGGAAUCGCUAGUAAUCGUAGAUCAGCAUGCUACGGUGAAUACGUUCCCGGGUCU
rnacentral:rRNA from 1 species